GUCCCCAGGCGUAAUGAGCGCCAGUGCGGAGGAGGCGCGGGCGCGGCGGCCGGGAGUCGGGGUGGGAGUGGUGGUGACUAGCUGCAGGCAUCCUCGUUGCGUCCUCCUGGGAAAGAGGAAAGGGUCGGUCGGAGCUGGCAGUUUCCAACUUCCUGGGGGACACUUGGAGUUCGGGGAGAGCUGGGAGGAGUGCGCCCGGAGGGAGACCUGGGAGGAGGCAGCGCUCCGCCUGAAGCACGUGCGCUUUGCCUCGGUGGUGAACUCUUUCGUGGAGAAGGAGAAUUACCAUUACGUGACCGUGCUCAUGAAAGGAGAGGUGGACGUGACCUAUGACUCGGAACCUACGAAUGUCGAGCCCGACAAGAAUGAAAGCUGGGAGUGGGUUCCUUGGGAAGAGUUUCCUCCGCUGGACCAGCUUUUCUGGGCGCUGCGCUGUUUGAGGGAACAAGGCUACGACCCCUUCAGAGAAGAUCUGGACCAUCUGCUGGGCUACAGAGGGCAUCACCUGUGGAUGGAGAAGACGACCUGACGGAGAAAGACAAGACAGAGUAAGGUCCGCUCGGAGGAUGAAGUGUCCGUAUAUCUGAACAACUCAUUUUAUCCAGAAAGUUCCUUAUCGUUGAGGUUUCUUUUCUGUCUCUUAAUACACCCGCACCCUUCCGCCAGUGCGUGUGGCUGACGUUCCGGGAGCACGUCACGCACUGUGUUCCGUGAGUGUGCAGAGGGGCCCUCCCGAGGCCACGUGGGGCGUGACACUGUAACGGAGUGAGUGUGGAAGCAGACGGGCGAGUCCAGCCCUCCUCCGAGGACGUGAACCGGACACCACAGGAAGGUGUCUGGGGGCGCGACCCUGGAGGCCCGGCCUGGACUAGAGCUGCCGCGCUGGGCAGUCUCGGCGCGGCUGCACCUGGGAGUCACUUCCAGUGUGGUCCUGGAGGUGAGCGCAAGACCCCCCGACUCCACCGCCAUCUGGGAAAGCUCCGUAUGCUCUUUACAUGUGUAAACAUCUAAUACACUCUGUACUGCGUGUUACGAGUGUGUAAACUGCGGUUUAACCUUUGGACCCACACGUCUCACUGGACCCUGAGACCAUGGCUCCCUCGCCAGCAGCCGCAGCACUAAGCCUUGUCAGUAGAGGGCACCGGAGGGCCUCUCCCGGGGUCGGGAGGACACUGGCUGCUGGACGCCUGCUGCUGACCUCCUGGCCAUUUUCAGGACCAUCCCCGAGGCUGGCUUCCCAGCAAGUCUCACCAUUACCCCAAAGCGUGGCCUUCUGAUGUUCUACCAAAUCCAACAAGCCCCUUCUACAAAAGAUAACAUACGGGGAACAUGAAGUACUGUAAGAACAGCACAAACCCACGUGCAAACCUUGAGGAAGGCUGAAACUCAGAAUAAACCAAGUCUCACAAAAGUGCUAUUUUACACAAUUAUUAACAGCCUACAGAAGAUUUUUAUGCAUUUGUUAAGUUGGGGUUUUAUAAUCUUUGAACAUAUGUAUUUGUUACUGUUUAUACAGUAUGUUUCACAAUUAAAAAGAUCAUGUUUAGAACCAUAAAAACAACAAGAGAGAAGCCCGAGGGAAACGGCACAGUCACAAACGGGAAGGAGAAACUCAGUCCGCCCUGUUCCGUAACCCCUACCCAGAACAGCCCUGGAGGCCGAGGGAGCGGAGCCCCGGCCAGGACGAGGGGCUCGGCCCCGGCGGCGCCCUC